rnacentral:piRNA from 1 species
UGAGAGCCCAUUGUUCCUCCUCCAGGUAGG